rnacentral:rRNA from 1 species
GACGAACGCUGGCGGCGUGCUUAACACAUGCAAGUCGAACGGAAAGGCCCUGCUUUUGUGGGGUGCUCGAGUGGCGAACGGGUGAGUAACACGUGAGUAACCUGCCCUUGACUUUGGGAUAACUUCAGGAAACUGGGGCUAAUACCGGAUAGGAGCUCCUGCUGCAUGGUGGGGGUUGGAAAGUUUCGGCGGUUGGGGAUGGACUCGCGGCCUAUCAGCUUGUUGGUGGGGUAGUGGCUUACCAAGGCUUUGACGGGUAGCCGGCCUGAGAGGGUGACCGGCCACAUUGGGACUGAGAUACGGCCCAGACUCCUACGGGAGGCAGCAGUGGGGAAUAUUGCACAAUGGGCGGAAGCCUGAUGCAGCAACGCCGCGUGCGGGAUGACGGCCUUCGGGUUGUAAACCGCUUUCGCCUGUGACGAAGCGUGAGUGACGGUAACGGGUAAAGAAGCACCGGCUAACUACGUG